rnacentral:rRNA from 1 species
CCUCCGGGGGAUUGCGUUAGUACGGCGAGUGAAGCGGCAAAAGCUCAAAUUUGAAAUCUGGCACCUUCGGUGUCCGAGUUGUAAUUUGAAGAAGGUAACUUUGGAGUUGGCUCUUGUCUAUGUUCCUUGGAACAGGACGUCACAGAGGGUGAGAAUCCCGUGCGAUGAGAUGCCCAAUUCUAUGUAAAGUGCUUUCGAAGAGUCGAGUUGUUUGGGAAUGCAGCUCUAAGUGGGUGGUAAAUUCCAUCUAAAGCUAAAUAUUGGCGAGAGACCGAUAGCGAACAAGUACAGUGAUGGAAAGAUGAAAAGAACUUUGAAAAGAGAGUGAAAAAGUACGUGAAAUUGUUGAAAGGGAAGGGCUUGAGAUCAGACUUGGUAUUUUGCGAUCCUUUCCUUCUUGGUUGGGUUCCUCGCAGCUUACUGGGCCAGCAUCGGUUUGGAUGGUAGGAUAAUGACUAAGGAAUGUGGCUCUACUUCGGUGGAGUGUUAUAGCCUUGGUUGAUACUGCCUGUCUAGACCGAGGACUGCGUCUUUUGACUAGGAUGUUGGCAUAAUGAUCUUAAGCCACCCGUCUUGAAAACACGAGACCAAAA